CUAUUGUUCAGGAUACGUACGACCCACACCCAUCUGUCAAGAAUCGCUAAAGAAAAUCCCUUCCGUCAGCCGCCGCAACAAUCCCUUCCCGCAGAUGUGCACGACCUACCCUUCCCCGGCCAGCCGCCGCCAACCAUGCUUGCCUCUGGCCAGCCGCCCCUGCUGACCCUGCCUCCCUCAUCGCCGGCGGUCCCCGGUAAGCACCUCUCCAGAGAUGCGGGAUCAAGCCGCCGCCACCAUGGAUUCAGCCGCCACGCCCCAAUCGAUGGUCCUCAUGGCCAGCCACCGCCGGUGACUUACACCGCCACGCCCAAUGCCCCCCUGCCAGUCACGGCCGCUCCACAGAUGAGCAUUAAUUCCACCAUAUUCCUUCGUCUUCCCCGCUUUUAUGUCGCAAACUCUUCCACCUUCCAUGCCACAAAUGCAUAUGAAACGGCCUCGCGGCACUCAAUUUACUACCGUCAUUAUCUCCUGCUUCAUUACCCUGCAAAUGCGGAAAAGGUCGUGCUUAUAACCCCUCUGCCAUAUGCAUCGACCACGAACGCCUGCUCACAUCCAUGUCUGGGAACCAACUACAGCCGUACUAGGUGCACACUCCCUCUUUUCAUCCCUCUCUGAAUAUUUCUAUCCUCACAAGAUUAUGUUGUGCAAUUUCUCAGGUUGUGCUAGGGAUGAAAGGAUGCUGAGCGUGUAGGUUUUUUGCUGCUCAGAUUGGCCACAUUGUAUCACAGAUUGCUCUCCGAAUCGAAAGGUGCUUCAACUUCUGUUUAGUAGGUCUCUUGCUCCUCGGAUUGCCUUCAUUUCAGUUUUGCAGCGGUCUCCUGCUUCUUACAUUGGUUCACGAAGCUACUGACCCUGAAAGAGUGGUGAUGCGAGUGAGAUUCUGAGAGAUUUCUCUCGGAUCAAAAGGAGCUCGACGUUAUGCUUCACAGAUCUCUUCCUGCUCGGACUGGAUUCAUUGCUUCAUAGGUAUCUUGCAGCUCGCAUUGGCAGAUAAAAAAUGGAGUCUAAUGAUGGAUCAUCCGGUUCAUCAAGUGAAACAAUCAAUGAAAUAGAAAAUCAUCCAGAAUGUCGCUAUAUGACACCAAAUGAGAUUGUUUGGCGCUUGCCAGAGAGAAUGAAGAUUGAUUCAGUAUCCAGGUUCCCCGUAAGUUAUGUCAUAAAGAAAAGCUUCUCGGUUGACAAUGCACAAGUGUUACCUUCUACAAAGCCAUAUCCAUGCAAAGAAAUGAUGACCCAUCCAUCUUCGAAGAAUAUCGAGAGUGCGAUGACCCAUACACCAGAGGAUGCAAACAAUACUACACCUCCCUCUUGCCAACCCGCAACUAAUGUCAUUGAGAAAAAAAUAGGUACUCUUUGGCUAAAAUGAGCAUUGAACUUUCAGAAGAUGAAACCACCAAAAAAGAGAUUAUUGUGCAUUUAGGACAUGCGAGGGAAAAAUGGCAUUGUCAAGGUGCAUGCAAUCACAAGAAUAAUGCUGCACAAGUUAGCAACAUGAACGACAUAGAAGAGAUGCACCUACGAGCUACACUACUACCUUUCUACAUAAAAUUUAGUUACAUCCUUGCUUCAAUUGUAAUCGCGACAAACUCAUGUUAUUACUAUUUCCUAAUGACCCUAUGCAUAUUACCUAUGCAAUUAUUAAGUCUGAAUUGUGAAGUCCAUGGGUGAUAUGCACUUUACAGAGCUGAUUAUUUGUAUUUUAAUUCAAUUGUUCUCAAAUCUAUUAACCUUGAUGGUUCAAUAAAUAUACAAAUAUAUACUUCCUUUCA